rnacentral:rRNA from 1 species
ACCUCCCACCCGUGUUUAUUGUACCUUGUUGCUUCGGUGCGCCCGCCUCACGGCCGCCGGGGGGCUUCUGCCCCCGGGUCCGCGCGCACCGGAGACACCAUUGAACUCUGUCUGAAGAUUGCAGUCUGAGCAUAAACUAAAUAAGUUAAAACUUUCAACAACGGAUCUCUUGGUUCCGGCAUCGAUGAAGAACGCAGCGAAAUGCGAUAACUAAUGUGAAUUGCAGAAUUCAGUGAAUCAUCGAGUCUUUGAACGCACAUUGCGCCCCCUGGUAUUCCGGGGGGCAUGCCUGUCCGAGCGUCAUUGCUGCCCUCAAGCACGGCUUGUGUGUUGGGCUCCGUCCCCCCGGGGACGGGCCCGAAAGGCAGCGGCGGCACCGAGUCCGGUCCUCGAGCGUAUGGGGCUUUGUCACCCGCUCUGUAGGCCCGGCCGGCGCCAGCCGACAACCCAUCAUCCUUUUCAGGUUGACCUCGGAUCAGGUAGGGAUACCCGCUGAACUUAAGCAUAUCAAUAGCCGGA